UACGUAGGGUGCGAGCGUUGUCCGGAUUUACUGGGCGUAAAGAGCUCGUAGGCGGUUUGUCGCGUUGUUCGUGAAAACUCACAACUCAAUUGUGGGCGUGCGGGCGAUACGGGCGGACUGGAGUACUGCAGGGGAGACUGGAAUUCCUGGUGUAGCGGUGGAAUGCGCAGAUAUCAGGAGGAACACCGGUGGCGAAGGCGGGUCUCUGGGCAGUAACUGACGCUGAGGAGCGAAAGCGUGGGGAGCGAACAGG
rnacentral:rRNA from 1 species